GGUGAGUAACACGUGGGUAACCUGCCUGUAAGACUGGGAUAACUCCGGGAAACCGGGGCUAAUACCGGAUGGUUGUCUGAACCGCAUGGUUCAGACAUAAAAGGUGGCUUCGGCUACCACUUACAGAUGGACCCGCGGCGCAUUAGCUAGUUGGUGAGGUAACGGCUCACCAAGGCGACGAUGCGUAGCCGACCUGAGAGGGUGAUCGGCCACACUGGGACUGAGACACGGCCCAGACUCCUACGGGAGGCAGCAGUAGGGAAUCUUCCGCAAUGGACGAAAGUCUGACGGAGCAACGCCGCGUGAGUGAUGAAGGUUUUCGGAUCGUAAAGCUCUGUUGUUAGGGAAGAACAAGUGCCGUUCAAAUAGGGCGGCACCUUGACGGUACCUAACCAGAAAGCCACGGCUAACUACGUGCCAGCAGCCGCGGUAAUACGUAGGUGGCAAGCGUUGUCCGGAAUUAUUGGGCGUAAAGGGCUCGCAGGCGGUUUCUUAAGUCUGAUGUGAAAGCCCCCGGCUCAACCGGGGAGGGUCAUUGGAAACUGGGGAACUUGAGUGCAGAAGAGGAGAGUGGAAUUCCACGUGUAGCGGUGAAAUGCGUAGAGAUGUGGAGGAACACCAGUGGCGAAGGCGACUCUCUGGUCUGUAACUGACGCUGAGGAGCGAAAGCGUGGGGAGCGAACAGGAUUAGAUACCCUGGUAGUCCACGCCGUAAACGAUGAGUGCUAAGUGUUAGGGGGUUUCCGCCCCUUAGUGCUGCAGCUAACGCAUUAAGCACUCCGCCUGGGGAGUACGGUCGCAAGACUGAAACUCAAAGGAAUUGACGGGGGCCCGCACAAGCGGUGGAGCAUGUGGUUUAAUUCGAAGCAACGCGAAGAACCUUACCAGGUCUUGACAUCCUCUGACAAUCCUAGAGAUAGGACGUCCCCUUCGGGGGCAGAGUGACAGGUGGUGCAUGGUUGUCGUCAGCUCGUGUCGUGAGAUGUUGGGUUAAGUCCCGCAACGAGCGCAACCCUUGAUCUUAGUUGCCAGCAUUCAGUUGGGCACUCUAAGGUGACUGCCGGUGACAAACCGGAGGAAGGUGGGGAUGACGUCAAAUCAUCAUGCCCCUUAUGACCUGGGCUACACACGUGCUACAAUGGACAGAACAAAGGGCAGCGAAACCGCGAGGUUAAGCCAAUCCCACAAAUCUGUUCUCAGUUCGGAUCGCAGUCUGCAACUCGACUGCGUGAA
rnacentral:rRNA from 1 species